UACAGAGGUCUCGAGCGUUGUUCGGAUUCAUUGGGCGUAAGGGUGCGUAGGUGGCGUGGUAAGUCUGGUGUGAAAUCCCGGGGCUCAACCCCGGAACUGCACUGGAUACUGCCAUGCUUGAGUACUGGAGAGGAGAUUGGAAUUUACGGUGUAGCAGUGAAAUGCGUAGAUAUCGUAAGGAAGACCAGUGGCGAAGGCGAAUCUCUGGACA
rnacentral:rRNA from 1 species